CUCAGAACCCGCAGGGAGGCUUCCGGAGGUUGUGAGGCAUAGUCCACAGUGACAGGACCCCCCUCGUCCUCAAGACCUGCUGUCUAUGACUCAGGAAGACAUGGGGCCACCUCUGCCAUGACAGGAGUCCGGCUUCCUCAGGACCCGCUGGAGGACCCUGGAGGCGCUGUUCGGAGUCACAUCCACGUCAGCAGCAGCUACUCAGAACGACAAGUUUUCCCACAAGAAACGAAGGCACUCGUCUCCACCAGGGACAUGACGCAGAUACACAUUGAUGUCAACAGGAUAUUCGGCAGCCACAUCAUAUUUUGGGACUACUACGGGGUUAGGUGAGGCUGAGGGGCCGGGGGGAUCGGGCCCUGUGAGAGGCCCGGGGACUUCUGGGUAGGGAACACGGGGCUUCUGAGCCAGGAGGACGCAACAGCAGCCAACAACACACCGCUAUAUGGUAGGAUGCUGGGGAUGACCCCCGUGCCCCUACCCCGGGGCAUCGGGGAUGAGGAGGCCACUAGGAUGGAGCCUCCAGGGUUUACCAUGUGAGCUGAAACUCAACGGGGUGAGGGAUGGCACAAAGAAAAGCAGGGGGCUAUGGUGGGGACCGUCGGGCAGUAAGGGGACCUGUGGGCCAGGCAGCAUGGCCGUGGCUACAGUAGGACACACAUCGAUCCGAUGAGGGUCAGACGGGUCACGGUGACAGCCACCCUUGGUGCUUUAUAUAUUUCUACAUUCUAUGCAUUUAAUUUCUGACAAUUUGCAAUUUGUGAACAUACAUCGUAUUAUAACCCCCAGAUAAUGCCCCCGCACCAGCAAGGGAACUGCACUGACCAUUAGGGCCCCAGGGACAUGUGUCACAGCAAUCCCCAGACUGGGGUCGCCUUUAUCUGGUGACGUCUCCAUGUGCAUCUUAGAGAAAGGGGAUGCCCUGUGUCCAGAGGCCCCCCAGGCCAUCCCCAUCUUUCCCCACCCCCACACCAUCCCCCUACAUCAUAUCCCCCUUUGCAU
rnacentral:lncRNA from 1 species